rnacentral:tRNA from 1 species
CGUAGCGCAGAGGUCAGAGUGUCAGACUAUGACGCUGAAUGCCUGGGUUCGAAUCCUUGCG